rnacentral:misc_RNA from 1 species
ACAAAUCCAAUAAUUGCUGGAGAACUCUUGUUCUUUUUGCAAAUAUUAAUCCGCUGGCCGCUCUUAGAGCAGCUGGCUGUGAUAUAAAUGCGUGUUAUGUUGACAGUGUGUGUAUUAUAAGUUAAUAUUGA